GUAUCGGCGAAAUCAGCAAGAUAUCUUUCUCCAAGUGAUAAACGAUGAAUUCCAAAAUAAUCUUCUUCUGUCUGCUUGUUGCAGCCACACAAGUAUAUUCUAUUAACAAUGAGGAAAUAUGCUUUGGAAGAUGCUUAGCUUGUUAUCAAGUGAGCUCAAUGUAUUGUGUAAUGGACAUAAAGAGACCAACAAGCGUUGAAGGUUGCAUUAACUUCUGUGUUCCGGAAGCUCGAAAAAUUAUCAGUGGUAUAGAAAGCUGCAAGACCGACGCAAACAAGUUAAAAUGCGUCGAUGCAAUAGUACGCCAGAAUUGAAAUUCCUGAAAAUAUAGGUUCUUUUGUCACUCAAUGGAGUGUAGGCUACACUUAAGUGAUCAAUAAACCGGAACUUAUAAAGCGCAA
rnacentral:lncRNA from 1 species